UACGAAGGGGGCUAGCGUUGCUCGGAAUCACUGGGCGUAAAGCGCACGUAGGCGGCUUGUUAAGUCAGGGGUGAAAUCCUGGAGCUCAACUCCAGAACUGCCUUUGAUACUGGGGAUCUCGAGUCCGGGAGAGGUGAGUGGAACUGCGAGUGUAGAGGUGAAAUUCGUAGAUAUUCGCAAGAACACCCGUGGCGAAGGCGGCUCUCUGGACCGGUACUGACGCUGAGGUGCGAAAGCGUGGGGAGCAAACAGG
rnacentral:rRNA from 1 species